UCAUGGAGAGAUAAGCUCACAUAGAACGUGAUGAUAGAACCAGAAGGGAAGGACUUGAGGUCAUAAUCUUGAGGAAUUCCAACAUGUCAUUGUUAGGAAGUGAAAGGGAAGUUUAAAAAUGUGACUCUGGGAAGUAGCCAGAAAACCGGGGGACAAACUUGGAGUCCAUGGGGGUUCAGAAAACCAGAGAAGAAAUGACUUUAAGAAGAUAAGUAUGGACAAUACUCUUGAAUCCUCAUAUUGGGUCAAGGAAAAUAAGCAAAGGAGAAAAUAAUUUAGCAUAUUUUGAGCUGAAUUAUGUUCCCCCAAAUUUGUAUGUUGCAGCCCUGCCUUAUUAACUGUUUUUGGAUAUAGAGCCUUGGAAGAGAUAAUAAGGUAAAAUGAGAUCAUCGGGAUGGGCCCUAAUCCAGUAUGACUGGUGUCUGAAGAAGCAGCAGAGAUGUUGGGGAUGAAAACACACAGAGGGAAGACCACUGAAGAAGAGGGAGAGCAGAGCCAGCUACAAACCAGGAGAGACUUCUCAUGAGGAACCACCCCGCCAGCACCAUCAUCCUGGACUUCCAGCCUCCACAACUGGAAGAAAAGAAAUUUCUCUUGCAUGAGGGAAGUAUGCUGCUGAUAUGUUCGUGAAUGACUGAAAAUCUCCAUGCUCCCAGGCAGCAGAGUCAGGAUCCAAACCGAGAUUUUCCCCUGAUGCACACAGCACAGCAGAGAGAACCGCUGGAUCUGAGUUAGAGCUGGAGGAGGACGUGCAGGGGGAAAAUUACCUUCCAAAUGAGUGGCUUUACAUCCAUCACAUCCCUACCCCAAGGAGCAGAUGGAGGGGGCAGCGGGGCCUCUCCUCUUACAAAGGUGGCCAAGAGUCCUGGAGAAGACGGCCCUCCGGCAACAUACUUCUUCCCCCCAA